rnacentral:rRNA from 1 species
GGGGAAUAUUGGACAAUGGGCGAAAGCCUGAUCCAGCCAUGCCGCGUGAGUGAUGAAGGCCCUAGGGUUGUAAAGCUCUUUCACCGGUGAAGAUAAUGACGGUAACCGGAGAAGAAGCCCCGGCUAACUUCGUGCCAGCAGCCGCGGUAAUACGAAGGGGGCUAGCGUUGUUCGGAAUUACUGGGCGUAAAGCGCACGUAGGCGGACAUUUAAGUCAGGGGUGAAAUCCCGGGGCUCAACCCCGGAACUGCCUUUGAUACUGGGUGUCUCGAGUCCGAGAGAGGUGAGUGGAAUUCCGAGUGUAGAGGUGAAAUUCGUAGAUAUUCGGAGGAACACCAGUGGCGAAGGCGGCUCACUGGCUCGGUACUGACGCUGAGGUGCGAAAGCGUGGGGAGCAAAC